AAGUUGCGCCCUGUGGAUGAAACAAGAGAUUAGAGUUUGGUAAGUGUUCACAUGGAAAUCAAACAAAAGAGAGACGCAGACAAAACACCACAAAGUAAACACACUCACAUUUUCCCUUUGCCCAAGUUUGGUCACUCGGUCCCCUUCCAUUAUUGCUAGUUGCUACUUGCUACUACUACCCUAAUUCUCACACAUAUUUUUCACACGUGUCAUUUUUUCGAUUGGAAUUUGAAUAUAGUGUCGAUGCUAAUUAGUUGGACAAAAAAUGAAAUAGGUAUCACAUUCAUUAUUUGACUAG